rnacentral:rRNA from 1 species
UACGAAGGGGGCUAGCGUUGCUCGGAAUUACUGGGCGUAAAGGGCGCGUAGGCGGAUAUCUAAGUUGGGGGUGAAAUCCCGGGGCUCAACCUCGGAAUUGCCUUCAAAACUGGGUAUCUUGAGUUCGGGAGAGGUGAGUGGAACUCCGAGUGUAGAGGUGAAAUUCGUAGAUAUUCGGAAGAACACCAGUGGCGAAGGCGGCUCACUGGCCCGGUACUGACGCUGAGGUGCGAAAGCGUGGGGAGCAAACAGG